AUUAGUAUUAGUUAUAUUCUUAAAAAUUAAAAAAUUUGGCGGUAUUUUAAUCUUUUCAGAGGAACUUGUUUUAUAAUUGAUAAUCCACGAUUUAAGUUACUUAUUUUUUAAAUUUGUAUAUCGUCGUUAUAAAGAAUUUUUAAAAAAUUAAAAUUUUUAUAAUAUUAAAUUAGAUAAAAAAUCAGAUCAUUAUGUAGUUAAUAGGUAAGUAAAAAUGAGUUACAUUAAUUUUAUUUGGGGAUAUUUAAUAGAAUAUUAAAUUAAAUUUGGAUUUGAAAGUAAAAAAAUUAAAUUUAAUUUUUUGAUUUAGCUCUAAAAUAUGUACACAUCGCCCG
rnacentral:rRNA from 1 species